GUGACUAUAGUGUAAUGGUUAGCACUAGAGAUUGUGGAUCUCUCAGUCAGGGUUCGAAUCCCUGUAGUCACCCCC
rnacentral:tRNA from 1 species